GGGGUGAAUCGGGUGCAGGAAAGACGGAGAACACGAAGAAAGUGAUCCAGUACCUGGCCCAUGUCGCCUCCUCACACAAAGGACGCAAAGACCAUAACAUUCCUGGCGAGUUGGAACGCCAGCUCCUGCAAGCCAACCCGAUCCUCGAGUCUUUUGGCAACGCAAAGACGGUGAAGAAUGACAACUCGUCUCGCUUUGGGAAGUUCAUCAGAGUCAACUUUGACGUCGCUGGAUACAUCGUCGGGGCCAACAUUGAAACUUACCUCCUGGAGAAGUCGAG